rnacentral:lncRNA from 1 species
CACAUUCGGUAGCAAAUAUAUGAUACCACAUGUCGUCUGAUGAUGAGUUUUACGGGAUCGUAUAAGGUUUGGUCAUUGUAUUCCCUGAAAGGAAUGAGAGGAGAAAAGAAACCGAAGACCUGGCUAUCUGCAGGCCAAUGCUGGCUGCAGGUCAAUAUUGAAUGCUCUUAUGAAAACUCAUAAGACAAUAACAAAAAAAAAGAAGCUGAGGAUGCUGUUUUUAAAACAUGCUCCACUCAAAAAAGGUGGAUUGAAAUUUAAGAAAGGUGUGACGGGAGCGUUUGCUGCAGGCAGGGAGGAUUUGACGGUCAGCCAGAGGAUUUGGAGAUAUACUGUAAUGUCUUUAAUGUGGACUUGCGUGUGUUUCAAGUUUUCACAAGGGUUUUAGUGUGUGUGAAAGUAUGUCAGUUUUCAAAAUUGACAAUUUGCUUAAACUACAUAACUCAAAGAACUUUGAAGCGGUCUUGUUGACGUCAAGAGCUUUUGUUUAAUACCAGUAUUGGUGAUAUAGGCCCAUGAUAAUAUACUGUAGAAAGUGAACAAGUUCACUGCUCGAUACAGAUAAUCAUAUAGCCUGGUAUCUGAAUGAUAUUUAUGAACUAAAAGAAGGCAUACAAUAAAAACAUACAGUAGUGAUUUAAAUUAUUGAUAUUGUUAAACUAGAUCUAUGCCUGUAUUCAUAAAGGAUCUUAGUAAAAAAAAUAUCUAGAACUUAAUAUUCUUCAAUUAAGUCAAAAACUUUUCACGCUCUUUAAAUAUUUCACAGCAUGACUACAAACUUGUAUAUUAUACCAAAGAAAAAUAGAUUGGCAACUUGAAAGGCGUAUAGAGCAAAUCUCGCCAACAUCACAUGGCAACUAAAUGAGAUCUCCUUUUAGUAAGCAUAUCUAAUCACAAUUGAUCAAGUCAGCAAACGCUUUGAAAUAAGAAAACUUGAUCGUUUGUGUAUAAUGCUAAUGGUACUUUUAUUCCCCCGCAUCUACUGAUGCGGGAGGCAUAUAGUGAUCGUCCUGUCCGUCCGCUCGUCCGUCCGUACGAGGUUAAAUAAAUGGGACCGUGUCGUCUAGUAUCAAUAACCCUUACUAGAAUGACUUGAUACUAAUGCAGAUGUAACUUGUGACCUUUCCUUAUCUUCAGACAUCACCUGACCUCAAUUUGACCUUGGCCUCAUUUUUGACUUAGGUUGCUUUAUAUGGGCCAUCUCUUGGUUAACCAAAUGGGAGCGUUUCGUCUAGCAUCAAUAUCGCUUACAAGAAUGAAUUGAUACUAAUACAGAUGUAACCUGUGACCAUUGCUU